rnacentral:rRNA from 1 species
GCCCUUAAGAGUUUGAUCCUGGCUCAGGAUUAACGCUGGCGGCGUGCUUAAUACAUGCAAGUCGAACGGAAAUCUUUUAGAUUUUAGUGGCGAACGGGUGAGUAACACGUAAGCAACCUGCCUUUAAGACGAGAAUAACAAUUGGAAACAGUUGCUAAGGCUGGAUAGGAAAUAAAAAGGCAUCUUUUUAUUUUUAAAAGACCUUUUUCGGAAGGUAUGCUUAAAGAGGGGCUUGCGUCACAUUAGUUAGUUGGUAGGGUAAAGGCCUACCAAGACGAUGAUGUGUAGCUGGACUGAGAGGUUGAACAGCCACAUUGGGACUGAGACACGGCCCAAACUCCUACGGGAGGCAGCAGUAGGGAAUUUUCGGCAAUGGAGGAAACUCUGACCGAGCAACGCCGCGUGAACGACGAAGUACUUCGGUAUGUAAAGUUCUUUUAUUGAAGAAGAAACAAUAGUGGAAAAACUAUCUUGACGUUAUUCAAUGAAUAAGCCCCGGCUAACUAUGUGCCAGCAGCCGCGGUAAUACAUAGGGGGCGAGCGUUAUCCGGAAUUAUUGGGCGUAAAGGGUGCGUAGGCGGUUUAAUAAGUCUCUAGUUUAAUUUCAACGCUUAACGUUGUCCUGCUAGAGAAACUGUUUAACUAGAGUGAGAUAGAGGUAAGCGGAAUUCCAUGUGUAGCGGUAAAAUGUGUAAAUAUAUGGAGGAACACCAGAGGCGUAGGCGGCUUACUGGGUCUUUACUGACGCUGAUGCACGAAAGCGUGGGGAGCAAACAGGAUUAGAUACCCUGGUAGUCCACGCCGUANACUAUGAGUACUAAGUGUCGGGGUUAAACUCGGUACUGAAGUUACACAUUAAGUACUCCGCCUGAGUAGUACGUACGCAAGUAUGAAACUUAAGGAAUUGACGGGAUCCGCACAGCGGUGGAUCAUGUUGUUUAUUCGAGAUACCGAAAAA